rnacentral:pre_miRNA from 1 species
GGUGAGGCUUCGGAAAGACGGGGAUUUGUUUUCAUCCCGUCUUUCCAAAGCCUCGCGAU